UGUUCGGGUUGUCAUGCCAAUGGCACUGCCCGGUAGCUAAAUGCGGAAGAGAUAAGUGCUGAAAGCAUCUAAGCACGAAACUUGCCCCGAGAUGAGUUCUCCCUGAGACUUUAAGUCUCCUGAAGGAACGUUGAAGACGACGACGUUGAUAGGCCGGGUGUGUAAGCGCAGCGAUGCGUUGAGCUAACCGGUACUAAUGAACCGUGAGGCUUAACCUU
rnacentral:rRNA from 3 species